rnacentral:lncRNA from 1 species
AUCUCUGGACAUAUUGUGGAUGUUUAAUAAUUAUAUUUUUAAUGAUUGAAGGAAUAACACAGAAGGGAAUCCUGCAUUUAUUGAGCAGGGCGUUGGAAUGCAAAACUUUAAGAUACUUUAACUGUGAAAUUCUUGGAAGCAUUCAUCAUCCUGUGGAAAGCUAAAUUCAAUGAGGUCAGGAAAUCCAAAUGCAGGAAGAAAAAUGAAAACUUCAGCUAAAAUCAUUACAGUGGUUAAGGGACAGGAGACAGGAAAAUUCUGGGCAGAAGAGGGCAGGUCCCCAGCGAGGGCUUCACCUUCAAGCCUGGAACUAUGGCCCAAAGUGAGAAUGUACAUCCCUGUUUUCCCGCUUGAAUGUUGCCUUUUCCAAAACCACCCAUGGCCUCCCCUGCCCCCAUCCUGUGCCCAUAAAAACCCCAGGAUCAGCCAGCAGAGAGAGGAGAAGAGGAGAUGCAGCUGGAUGUCAGAAACUACCGUUGGAGAGAAGCAGCUUGACUUCAGAGGGACAGGUUGAUGGCACAGCUUUGGAGAGGGGUUUGGCCAUCCCCAGCCAGACUCCAGAGAAAGAUUACCUUCUCCUAAUCCGUCCCCUUUGCAGCUCCCCUUCCUGCUGAGAGCCACCUUCAUCGGCAAUAAAAUCCCCCACAUUGACCAUCCUUCUAAUUCAUGUAUGCAACAUUCUUCCUGGAUGCCAGAAAAGAACUCAGGUGUGGGUGCAAAAGGCUGUCACACUGACCCUCUACUGAGCUGUUAACACUUAAGCUGUCCAUGGAUGGCAAAGCUAAAAGAGCACCGACUAUAACACUCCUUCUGGGGCUUCAGGGGUCAUGGGCACCCUCAAGACACUGCCACAGGACCGGCACAAAGUUUGUUUCUGCUGGCACCCCAAAACGCCCACCCCAGCUCGUGCACCUCCUCACCUGCAUGCCCCCUUCAGCAAGGGGUUAAGCACUGUGGGUUU